rnacentral:rRNA from 1 species
UUUAGUAACGGGCGAGUGAAGCGGUAACAGCUCAAAUUUGAAAUCUGGCUCUUGCGGAGUCCGAGUUGUAAUUUGUAGAAGAUGCUUUGGGUUGUGGGUUCGGCCUAAGUUCCUUGGAACAGGACGUCAUAGAGGGUGAGAAUCCCGUAUGUGGCCGAGGCCCGCGCCUAUGUAAAGCUCUUUCAACGAGUCGAGUUGUUUGGGAAUGCAGCUCAAAAUGGGUGGUAAAUUUCAUCUAAAGCUAAAUAUGGGCCAGAGACCGAUAGCGCACAAGUAGAGUGAUCGAAAGAUGAAAAGCACUUUGGAAAGAGAGUUAAACAGUACGUGAAAUUGUUGAAAGGGAAGCGCUUGCAACCAGACUUGGGCGCUGCCGAUCACCUUGAGUUUUCUCGAGUGCACUCGACAGCGCACAGGCCAGCAUCGGUUCGGGUGGCUGGAUAAAGGCCGUAGGAAUGUGGCUCUCUUCGGGGAGUGUUAUAGCCUACGGUGCCAUGCAGCCCAGCCGGACCGAGGACCGCGCCUUCGGGCUAGGAUGCUGGCGUAAUGGUUGUAAGCGACCCGUCUUGAAACACGGACCAAGGAGUCUAACAUCUAUGCGAGUGUUUGGGUGGUAAACCCAUACGCGGAAUGAAAGUGAACGUAGGUGAGAACCCCUUUGGGGCGCAUCAUCGACCGAUCCUGAUGUCUUCGGAUGGAUUUGAGUAAGAGCAUAGCUGUUGGGACCCGAAAGAUGGUGAACUAUGCCUGAAUAGGGUGAAGCCAGAGGAAACUCUGGUGGAGGCUCGCAGCGGUUCUGACGUGCAAAUCGAUCGUCAAAUUUGGGCAUAGGGGCGAAAGACUAAUCGAACCAUCUAGUAGCUGGUUCCUGCCGAAGUUUCCCUCAGGAUAGCAA